AUUGAACGCUGGCGGCAUGCCUUACACAUGCAAGUCGAACGGUAACAGGUCUUCGGAUGCUGACGAGUGGCGAACGGGUGAGUAAUACAUCGGAACGUGCCCGAGAGUGGGGGAUAACGAAGCGAAAGCUUUGCUAAUACCGCAUACGAUCUCAGGAUGAAAGCAGGGGACCGCGAGGCCUUGCGCUCACGGAGCGGCCGAUGGCAGAUUAGGUAGUUGGUGGGAUAAAAGCUUACCAAGCCGACGAUCUGUAGCUGGUCUGAGAGGACGACCAGGCACACUGGGACUGAGACACGGCCCAGACUCCUACGGGAGGCAGCAGUGGGGAAUUUUGGACAAUGGGCGCAAGCCUGAUCCAGCCAUGCCGCGUGCAGGAUGAAGGCCUUCGGGUUGUAAACUGCUUUUGUACGGAACGAAAAGACUCUGGUUAAUACCUGGGGUCCAUGACGGUACCGUAAGAAUAAGCACCGGCUAACUACGUGCCAGCCGCCGCAGUAAAAC
rnacentral:rRNA from 1 species